rnacentral:lncRNA from 1 species
AGAGCAGACAGGCCCCUGAAACUGCCAAGGAGUUCGGGAGGGGUCCCUUCCCCUGGCCCGCGCCCCGACCCAGCACCUGUUCCCCGCAGUCGUGGCCGUGGGGGCCGUGCCCGUGGUGCUGGGCGCCAUGGGCUUCACCGGGGCGGGAAUCGCCGCCUCGUCCCUAGCGGCCAAGAUGAUGUCCGCCGCUGCGGUCGCCAACGGGGGUGGAAUCGCCGCGGGCAGCCUGGUGGCGACGCUUCAGUCGGUGGGUAAGUGUUGGGUGGGCGGUGGACAGGUCGGGGGAGGGGUGGGGGAGCGCAGGAUAGUGGGGAGAGGAGCAGAGCGAGGAGGGCGUUCACCCCAGAGGCUAAGCCUGAGGGAGGGCUCAGCUCCCUCCAGUUCCGUGGUUCUCAUCCUCCCGGGUCCUUUGUCCCUCACUGUCCUCUUUCUGGCUCCUUCUGAGUGAAGUUUGGUGAGAAUGGAGGGGUAAGGGGCUCUGAGAUCUGAGAGGGAGAAGAAGGGAAGGAGCCCAGGGCUCUGGGUACAGCCCUACCCAAAUCUGACACGGGAGUGGCCUAGGUGGGUCCUUUCCCCUCCGGGCCUCAGUGGCCUCCUGUGUAAGGUGAGGGGACCGGUUGCUCACUGGAUCUUUGGCUGACUGUCCUCUGUCUCUAACUUCCCAUAGAUUCACCCCCUCUCCUGUCUUUGCCACCUCCAGCAUCGUCUCCCCAAAGUGGAGCCCUGGGGGUUUCAGAACCUAGCGGAGGGAUCCAGGUCUCUGGGCCUCAGACAUCCAGAGGGGUCGGGGCCACUGGCCACUGCAGGUUCCAGGACUCACCCUCUGUCUAUUCCUCAGGGGCAGCUGGACUCUCCACAUCAUCCAACAUCCUCCUGGCCUCCAUUGGGUCAGCUUUUGGAGCCUUGCUGGGAGGCUCAAAAAAGGAACCUUCUUCCUCUUCCCCAGCAGAACCCGGGUCUGAAGGGGAACAGCCAGGAGAAACUGAAUCCCAAGUUCAACCUCCAAACCCCCCGCUCAGUUCAGAGAAACAGGAGAAAUAAAAAUCGUGUGUGGAUGCACC